rnacentral:sRNA from 1 species
GAAUACACAGCAAUUAUUGCAGAUGAAUUAAAAG